UCUACGCCACUCCACCUGCCAAGUCCAGUUCAGCGGCCGGUCUCCCGCCGCCGACGGUUGCCUCCCGCCAUGAGUAACAAUCCAGACGCCUGCGAUCCAUCUCCGGUGGUUACGUCCUCAUCGUCAUCGUGUAAUCACCCCAUGACCACCACAUCUCGCCAUUGCUUCGGAAAUUCAACCGAAGGUUCUGAUUCCUUCUGCAUCACCAUCAUUGAGAGUAUGAAGGAAGACUACGGGUUGUUUGUGUGGCCGUGUAGUAUUGUUCUUGCUGAGUAUGUUUGGCAACAAAGAUUGCGCUUUUCCGGGGUUAGCGUAGUUGAGCUUGGAGCCGGGACUUCUUUACCGGGGUUAGUUGCCGCGAAAGUGGGCUCGGAUGUCACCCUAACUGAUGAUGUAAACAAACCAGAGGUGCUGGCUAACAUGAGAAGAGUGUCAGAUCUAAACAAUCUCAAUUGUAAUGUAAUGGGACUGACAUGGGGCGUGUGGGAUGCUGAUAUCUUCAGUAUACAUCCCAAAAUUAUCCUUGGUGCUGAUGUUUUGUACGACACAAGUGCCUUUGAUGAUCUCUUUGCCACUGUGGCAUUUCUGCUCCAAAAUUCUCCAGGAUCUGUUUUCAUAACAACCUAUCACAAUAGAAGCGGGCACCAUCUAAUUGAGUUCUUGAUGGCGAAGUGGGGGUUGAAGUGCAUUAAACUUCUUGAUGGCUUCUCGUUUAUGCCAUCCACCAAAGCAUCUGGUCUAAGUGGCAAUAUUCAAUUGGCAGAAAUUGUUUUGAAUACUUAACUGUUGAGAAUCCAGUACUAGAAAGUAUCUAUACAUUACAUAGAAUGUUCGAGUUCCUACAGUGGUGUGGACAUUCUUUACGGUAAGUUCAGGGCCCCGUAAUUGACCACCCUGCAGUCCUUUCUGAGCUCCUGUCCUCCACGGAUGCUGCUCAUCUUGAUCAUGGAAUUCACAAAAGCCUUGUAGAAAGCUUCUUGCGAGCUGGCAAACUUGGAAACCAGAUCUUUUGUAUUGGGAGAAGUAAGCAAAGCUUGGUCUGAAGAAAACACCUCACAUAUUGUGAGGAGGCCAGCCUUGCUUAUGCUUCUCAAAAUCUGCCAAUCCGAAGCCGAAAUUGUUGAGACGUCUGUUCUCACUUCAAAUGGGUUAUCACUGAUCAUUACUCUUCCUGAUGACUCCUUCUUGGGAUCUGUGAAGUUGCAAUGAAUCUUCUCUUCCUCUUCUCACAAUAAGAGCCAGAAGGAGUUAUGGAAUUCCUUCCCAAGCCAAGAAGACUCGAGGCUUUAGUCAAUUUUCUAGAAAACAACAAAAGAGACCUUGUACAAAUGGCUGCAGCUGGUGUACUAGCCAAUACACUCACUCACCAAGAAACGCAUAGAACUACAUUUUGCAUGGUUAAAGCAAACGUGGGUCCUAAAUGGUCUUUCUUUUGAGGGAAGUGGUGGAGGCUUUUCUGACGGGUUGCAGUGUAAAUGAGGGUGGGAAGAUUCAAAUGAAGGUGGCGACCAUUUUGGCUAUGGUCCAAUGUAAUUCAAGAUUGUCGAGAUCUCUGGUUUAUGGGCUAAGCAGAUGAGAAAUCCUGGUGAUUUCAAGGGGAUAGAACUCAGUAAAUUGGAUCAGGUACUGCUGUGCGCUUAGUUGUGCAUCCCAUUUCUGUUGCAGCUGAGAAUGGGGAAGGCUUGGCUUGAAUUGCACGUGGCAACCUAGCGCAAUGCAUGGAAGUCAAAUUUGGAUUCUUCGAGCUGCUUCAGCUCAGCUGAAGCUGCAUUAGUGCAAAUUAGUUAGUUAGCUAAUUCUUGUAUGUGGUGUAUGGUGGAGAGUGGUUAGGGUGCAAGGAUCGGUUAAUUGUAUUGUAAAGAAUUGGAACGAGAGUUCCCUUGUACUGUUCCAUUGGUUUAAUAAAGAACUCCAUUUCUGUUC